rnacentral:misc_RNA from 1 species
CCGAGUUUACAACUCCCAAACCCCUGUGAACUUAUACCUUUACUGUUGCUUCGGCGGGUUUUCGCCCCGGAACAGGUUCGCAAGAGCCGGCCCGGAAGCAGGCGCCCGCCGGGGGACCUAAACUCUUGUAUUUUCUUACUUUGCAUGUCUGAGUGGAAUCAUACAAAAUGAAUCA